GCGUCGGUCCCAUAUGGAAUACUUUCCUGGUUAAAAUUUAACCCCAUAUUGGUUAAAUUUAACCAGGAUGUUUCCUGGUUAAAUUAACCAGGAAUAACUGGUUAAUCAAUGGAACCAGGAUUUCCUGGUUAAUAUAACCAGGAAUGCGUCGGUCCCAUAUGGAAUACUUUCCUGGUUAAAAUUUAACCCCAUAUUGGUUAAAUUUAACCAGGAUGUUUUUAGAGUGUACUGGUUCCCUUGAGGAUAGCUCUGUGGCAGUGAAAUCGAAAAACCUGCAUCAUUCCUCUGGCUCUCAUGGAUAAGCAUAAAGUAGUCGCGAGAAUAUGUUUCGCACUUAAGGUGGCUCCCUACAGUUGUGAAGAAACAGUAGCGAAAAAUAAGGUCUACACAAAGACGCAAAAUAUUACCUAUUUAUGUGAAGUGGGGAUUUUUUUGGAAGUACAAACGCCUGUGUAAUAUUUAUACUUCAAGCAUUUAUAAUAGUUCGAACGAAGCAAAUUGUGUGUUGCUAUGGUAACAAUGUGGCUUAAGCGACAGCAGGCAAAGAUCAAAUUUUGGAGUAAAAAUGAAUUUAUUGAAAUUUCCUUCGGUCAAAGUUUCAAAAAUAGUCAUCCAUUGGAAGGUUGGACCGCCGCCUGGCUUGCUUACUAGCUAAUAUUGCGGAGAAAGAAAGAAAGAAAGAAUCCAGAUAUACUGAUAUAGAUUGCAGAAAACACCGAAGCAAUACCUAAUAUGCCUAUGGCCGUUCAGAAUAGAGCGACAUGAACUCGUAACCAACAGAAAACUAUAGCUAAUUGCAGCAAUUGGAUAACUAGAUUAAUUUGUGUAGACAAAACAUAUAACAUGUACUUUGCAUUUGAAGUAUACUAUAGAUAAGUUUUACUGAAUUUUUCAGCACUUAUUCUUGUAUUUUCACCACAU